UACGUAGGAUGCAAGCGUUGUCCGGAAUUAUUGGGCGUAAAGAGCGCGCAGGCGGAUAUGACAAGUCAGAUGUUGAAAGAGGCCGGCUUAACCGGCGAAGGGUCAUUUGAAACUGUCAGACUAGAGUGCAGCAGAGGAUAGUGGAAUUCCCGGUGUAGUGGUAGAAAUGCGUAGAUAUCGGGGAGGAACACCAGUGGCGAAGGCGACUAUCUGGGCUGCAACUGACGCUGAGGCGCGAAAGCGUGGGGAGCAAACAGG
rnacentral:rRNA from 1 species